UUACUUCAGCAGUACAUGUGCUGAAAUUGGAAUGAUACAGAGAAGAUUAGCCUGGCUCUGUGCAAGGAUGAUAUGCAAAUUUAUGAAGGGUUCUAUAUCUCC
rfam:Tupaia chinensis contig234790, whole genome shotgun sequence.